rnacentral:lncRNA from 1 species
UGCUAUAACACAAUUAGGCUAGCAAAAUAUUGUAUAUUCCAUUCAAAAUACAAAGUCAAUGUAUGGCAGAAGCUGCUAUAACACUACUGCUAUAAUUCAGCAGGAAAAAAAUGGGACAAACCCCAAAAAAUACCCACCAUGGGGAACUAAAGCUGCUGCUAUAACAACUUAGCAGAGGUGUGGCUGCACAAUCCUAAGACAGCACACUAACAGGAUCCAAAAUAACACUACUAAGUGAUUUUAACAGCAAAAACACAGUUCCCAUGCUCCAAAAAACCGCGCCUGAACAGCAAAAAACAACAUGCAAACUGGAACCCCCCAGGCACCUGCAGCGGAACCCCCCAGGUAUCAAACCAGAACAAAAAAAAACAGCAAAAACAGUUGCUGCACUUUCAUGAAUGCAGCAACGCCAGUGCCCCCUAUGAAUUCAUUCCAUUCAAAUAGGUUGGCCCCUCUAUUUCCUACAUUAAUAACAACUUAAAAAUUAGCAUCACGAUACUUGUUGAAUGUAUGAAUAGUUCAUUAUGAAUUUGUUUUUGAAAUUACCAUUAGCAUGGCUGUGUAAUU